rnacentral:tRNA from 1 species
GAAGCUGUGCCUGAACCUUAAAGGAACACUUUGAUAGAGUGAACUAUGGGGGUUAAAAUCCCCCCAGCUUCC